rnacentral:rRNA from 1 species
UACGGGGGGGGCAAGCGUUGUUCGGAAUUACUGGGCGUAAAGGGCUCGUAGGCGGCCAACUAAGUCGGACGUGAAAUCCCUCGGCUUAACCGGGGAACUGCGUCUGAUACUGGAUGGCUUGAGUUCGGGAGAGGGAUGCGGAAUUCCAGGUGUAGCGGUGAAAUUCGUAGAGAUCAGGAAGAACACCGGUGGCGAAGGCGCUCUGCUAGGCCGCAACUGACACUGAGGGACGAAAGCUAGGGGAGCGAAUGGG